GGGGCUGAUUCUGGAUUCGACGGGAUUUGCGAAACCCAAGGUGCAUGCCGAGGGGCGGUUGGCCUCGUAAAAAGCCGCAAAAAAUAGUCGCAAACGACGAAAACUACGCUUUAGCAGCUUAAUAACCUGCUUAGAGCCCUCUCUCCCUAGCCUCCGCUCUUAGGACGGGGAUCAAGAGAGGUCAAACCCAAAAGAGAUCGCGUGGAAGCCCUGCCUGGGGUUGAAGCGUUAAAACUUAAUCAGGCUAGUUUGUUAGUGGCGUGUCCGUCCGCAGCUGGCAAGCGAAUGUAAAGACUGACUAAGCAUGUAGUACCGAG
rnacentral:tmRNA from 2 species